rnacentral:rRNA from 1 species
UAGGGAAUAUUGGUUAAUGGGCGAAAGCCCGAACCAGCAACGCCGCGUGUGCGAUGAAGGCCUUCGGGUCGUAAAGCACUUUUAGAGAGGAAGAGGAAGGACGGUACUCUUUGAAUAAGCUUCGGCUAACUACGUGCCAGCAGCCGCGGUAACACGUAGGAAGCGAGCGUUAUCCGGAUUUACUGGGCGUAAAGCGCGUGUAGGCGGUCUGGUUAGUUGGAUGUGAAAGCUCCCGGCUUAACUGGGAGAGGUCGUUCAAUACUGCCAGACUAGAGAGUGGUAGAGGGAGAUGGAAUUCCGGGUGUAGUGGUGAAAUGCGUAGAUAUCCGGAGGAACACCAGUGGCGAAAGCGAUCUCCUGGACCAUUUCUGACGCUCAGACGCGAAAGCUAGGGUAGCAAACGG